GAGGCCUUAGCUUAAUGAAAGUGUCUGAGUUGCAGUCAGAGGAUGUAGCGGGAGUUACAGGUCUU
rnacentral:tRNA from 1 species